GCUACGCUGGUAGGUUGCGCAACAACAUCCCUCACGAAGAGCAUGCGCAACCUACCAUGAGCAUCAAGACAAAAUCAACCAUGGAUCUUAUAACAUUGCUGACCAAAGGAAAUCAUAAAGUCAAUAUCUGACGAUGACGAACAUUCAAAUGAAAACUAACUUCAUGGCGGUGUAAGACAUAAGAUGAAAACUUUCAGCAUUUGGUGUCACAGUUCAGUUCAUCCUGCAUCUCCAUGAGAUGAUGUGUUCAGCUCCAGAGAAGUUUAAUCCUGCCUUUAACAAUGAUCUGUUGGGUGGCAACAUCUAUGUUACUGAUGAUUCUGAUGAGAGAUUUCAGAGUCGAUUCAGACAUGUCAUAACUGAGUACAGGACAGGUGAUGAAUGCUGUCCUAUGUGUCCUGCUGGGAGUCGUGUCAAAAUAGACUGUACAGAGUUUAAAAGCACAUCCUGCCAGAAAUGCACAGAUGGGUAUUACAUGGACCUGCCAAAUGGACUAAAGAGAUGCAAUCUAUGUUCUACCUGUGAUU